rnacentral:lncRNA from 1 species
GUGGUGGAAGGACCUACCUGGUGUCUGUGGGUGUCGCCAAGGCGGCCGAAGCGGGCAAUAUGAAGUUGUACUUCCUUUUGUUUAUCUGUGUGGUGGUACACGGGGAGCUGAAUGGAUCUCCCAGCGGCGACGACCCUCCCGCGCAGUCCCCGAUGGCUCCCGGGGCGAGUGGCAAAGUAAUGCUGGACAUGCCGAUGGCCAGGAGCCUCCGAGCCCUCGAGAGGG